AACUGAUACUACCUGCGGGAACCUGCGGAGGGAUCAUUGCUGGAACGCGCCCCAGGCGCACCCAGAAACCCUUUGUGAACUUAUACCUUACUGUUGCCUCGGCGCAUGCCGGCCCCCAGGGGCCCCUCGGAGACGAGGAGCAGGCACGCCGGCGGCCAACCUAACUCUUGUUUUUACACUGAAACUCUGAGAAAAAAAACAAAAUGAAUCAAAACUUUUAGCAAUGGAUCUCUAGAUCGG
rnacentral:misc_RNA from 1 species